UGGUGCACGGCUUCUGGG
rnacentral:misc_RNA from 1 species